CUCUUCCGUCCGGCGCCGAGAUAAGUACUUGAUUUUUGGGUUUUGGGGAAAUAGUUGGCACUCGGGUAUCUGGGGAAUGGAGAGUGGUCUGUGUAUGCAAGUAUGUAACUACUCGCGAAUGGAGGAAAACCAAUAAAUCCUAUUUUCACAUUUUGUCCCGAGUGGUAAUUACCACUGUAAAUGGACCGGGCGGCCAUGGAAUUCCCGGUUUUUGGAGAUCUAAUUUUUUUAUUACAUUCAUCAACUCGGCGAAAAUCAAUUUUUUCAGUAUUCACUAAUUGAUGGAUUUUAAUCAUCAAAGGACAGAAAUAAUUAAUGUAAUUCACUGCGGUACCACCCAGUGAAUAGACAUCGCAACUAUUUUCAUAUUAUUUUUUUUAACAAAGAAAUAUGAUAUUCUAUGCACCGGCAAUUCGGUUUUGCAUCCGGGAUAUAGUCUGCUCUAUGCACUUUUUAAUUUACCAAUUGUUUGCGGAUUGUAAAUAAGUAGGAACGGCUGGAUGAACGUUCAAAGCGUUCACUGGGUGUGAAUUAUUUUCCAACGAGUUGAAAGGAAUGAAAAUCCUGAUAAAUAUACAGUACUGACACGCUAUGUCACUCCAUUGGAUUCUGAUGAACAAUAAAAAUGAGGAACAAUUAUUUGUAGAUAUACCGAAAGCAAACGGGAGUUUUAAUUAAAAAUGUAUUAAUAUUUUUUUAUAUCAAUCUCA